rnacentral:tRNA from 2 species
GAGAGAGGCUGGCAGCAACGAAAACUGCUAAUUUUCGUCACCUUGGUUAGACCCCGGGGCUCACUCG